rnacentral:rRNA from 1 species
GAAAAGAAAUCAACCGAGAUUCCCCUAGUAGCGGCGAGCGAACGGGGAAGAGCCUGCACGUGAUAGCUUCUUUGUUAGUGGAACGGUCUGGAAAGUCCGGCGAUAGAGGGUGAUAGCCCCGUACACGAAAACAAAGAGGUGGUACUGAGCGUGCGACAAGUAGGACGGAACACGUGACAUUUUGUCUGAAGAUGGGGGGACCAUCCUCCAAGGCU